rnacentral:rRNA from 1 species
UGUACUUCGGUAUGCAUCUCAAUUGGACCUGAUAUCAGGCAAGAUUACCGCUGAACCUUAAGCAUAUUAAUAAGCGGAGGAAAAGAAACUAACAAUGGUAUUCCCCUAGUAACGGCGAGUGAAGCGGGAAGAGCUCAAGCUUAAAAUCUCCGUGCAAGUUUUGCGCGGCGAAUUGUAGUCUAUAGAGGCGUGAUCAGUGUGGGCGCUUGGGGCAAGUUCCUUGGAAGAGGACAGCAUGGAGGGUGAUACUCCCGUUCAUCCCUGAGUUGCUCGUGCGUACGAUCCGUUUUCUUUGAGUCGCGUUGUUUGGGAAUGCAGCGCAAAGUAGGUGGUAAAUUCCAUCUAAAGCUAAAUAUUGGUGCGAGACCGAUAGCGAACAAGUACCGUGAGGGAAAGAUGAAAAGAACUUUGAAAAGAGAGUUAAAGAGUACCUGAAACUGCUGAAAGGGAACCGAAUCGUUUCCAGUGUCUAUAAUCCGUGGUAUAUUUCAUUGGCGAGUGUGUGCGUGCGUGUGCUGUGGCAGCGGCUUUUUUGGCUGCGCUCGGCGUGUGUGCUGUGUGUGCUUGCUGGUGCCCUGUGCUGCGGUGGGACGUCAAGGUCAGUUCGUAUGCUGCGGGAAAUGGCCGCCGAGGAGGUAGGGCUUACGCUUGCGUUUGUCUGUUAUAUCUUGGUGGACGAGUAGUCGCGGUUGGGACUGAGGUGCCUACAACGUGUUUUUGAGUGGGCCUGUGUCUCUGUGUGCGCCGUGUGCGGAUAGCUUGCUAUGCGUGUGUGGUUGUGUGUGGAUUGAUGUGGGUUUUAACUUGUUGCCGUUCGGGACGUUGACGAAAUGGAGCGAUUUGACCGGUCUUGAAAACACGGACCCAAGGGAGUUCUAAACAUGUGUGCAAAGUUGUAAGGGUGUGGGAAACCCCAGCGCGAAAUGAAAAGUGAAGGGCAGCGUAAGUUGUCUGAGGUAGGAAAUGCUGCGGGCUUCGGUCUGCGGUGUGGCACUAUCGACCGAUCAUGAACCUUCGUGGUGAAAGAUUUGAGUUUGAGCACAUAUGUUGGUACCCGAAAGAUGGUGAACUAUGCCUGAGUAGGGUGAAGCCAGGGGAAACUCUGGUGGAAGCUCGUAGCGAUUCUGACGUGCAAAUCGAUCGUCAAACUUGGGUAUAGGGGCGAAAGACUAAUCGAACCAUCUAGUAGCUGGUUCCCUCCGAAAUUUCCCUCAGGAUAGCAGCAACUUAUUUACGAUAGUUUUAUGAGGUAAAGCGAAUGAUUAGAGGAUUCGGGGAAGAAACUUCCUCGACCUAUUCUCAAACUUUAAAUCUGUAAGACCUGCAGGUUUCUUAAUUGAACUUGUGGAUGUGAAUAUCAAGUUGCUAGUGGGCCAUACGGGGUAAGCUCGUCUGGCGAUGCGGGAUGAACCGAACGCAAAGUUAAAGUGCCAAAAUGCUCGCUCACCUAGAUACCAUAAAAGGUGUUGGUUCAUUUAGACAGCAGGACGGUGGCCAUGGAAGUCGGAAUCCGCUAAGGAGUGUGUAACAACUCACCUGCCGAAUGAACUAGCCCUGAAAAUGGAUGGCGCUAAAGCGGGCUACUUAUACUUUGCCGUUAGCGCGAUAGCAUUUAUAAUGUACGCGUUAAUGAGUAGGAGGGCGUGAAGGUCGUGAAGAAGCUCGUGGCGUGAGCCUGAGUGAAACGGCCUUUAGUGCAGAUCUUGGUGGUAGUAGCACAUAUAUUUCAAAUGCCAACUUUGAAGACUGAAGUGGGAAAAAAGGUUUCCCGUGUGAAUCGUAAAUGGGAAAACGCGGGAGAUCCAAUCCUAAAAAAUAGGAUAAUUUCCGUUUGAAAGCUGGGCUGUUUGAGGCGUGGGGUUCGUCCUUGCGUUUUGUAUGCAGCCUCGUGUAUCGAAAGGGAAUCAGGUUAAUAUUCCUGAACCGAGACGUGGAUAAUAUGUGGUAACACAACCGACCCAGGAGACGCUAGCGUGUGCCCAGGGAAGAGUUCUCUUUUCUUUUUAACAAGCAUAUCCUACCUUGGAAACGGAUUAUCCGGCGAUAAGGAGGAUGCCUUGGCAAAGCACUUUACUUUUUGAAGUGUCCUGCGCGCCCACGACAGCCCUUGAAAAUCCUGGCUAGAGAUUUAUUCGCACCCUCGUUCGUACUCAUAACCGCAUCAGUCUCCAAGGUUAGCAGCCUCUAGUUGAUAGAAGAAUGUAGAAUAAGGGAGUCGGCAAAUAGAUCCGUAACUUCGGGAAAAGGAUUGGCUCUGAGGUUGGGCCUAGGGUCUUUUUGGAGAACUGUGGCGGCUACGUUGGGCUGCGUCUGGACCUUUCGGGGACCGGAUGCGGCCUGGCGUCGGGCUGCUCUGUGUGUGUGCGGGAGAGAAGGAUGAGUUGGCUUUCGGGCUGG